AUACGGAGGGUGCAAGCGUUAAUCGGAAUUACUGGGCGUAAAGCGUGCGUAGGUGGUUUAUUAAGUCAGAUGUGAAAGCCCCGGGCUUAACCUGGGAACUGCAUUUGAAACUGGUAAACUAGAGUAUGGUAGAGGAAAGUGGAAUUUCUGGUGUAGCGGUGAAAUGCGUAGAUAUCAGAAGGAACAUCAAUGGCGAAGGCAGCUUUCUGGACCAAUACUGACACUGAGGUACGAAAGCGUGGGUAGCAAACAGGAUUAGAUACCCCAGUAGUCC
rnacentral:rRNA from 1 species